rnacentral:rRNA from 1 species
UGGGGAAUAUUGCACAAUGGGCGAAAGCCUGAUGCAGCAACGCCGCGUGAGUGAUGAAGGCCUUCGGGUUGUAAAGCUCUGUCUUUUGGGACGAUAAUGACGGUACCAAAGGAGGAAGCCACGGCUAACUACGUGCCAGCAGCCGCGGUAAUACGUAGGUGGCAAGCGUUGUCCGGAUUUACUGGGCGUAAAGGAUGCGUAGGCGGAUUUUUAAGUGAGAUGUGAAAUACCCGGGCUUAACUUGGGUGCUGCAUUUCAAACUGGGAAUCUAGAGUGCAGGAGAGGAGAAUGGAAUUCCUAGUGUAGCGGUGAAAUGCGUAGAGAUUAGGAAGAACACCAGUGGCGAAGGCGAUUCUCUGGACCGUAACUGACGCUGAGGCAUGAAAGCGUGGGUAGCAAACAGGAUUAGAUACCCUGGUAGUCCACGCCGUAAACGAUGAGUACUAGGUGUAGGAGGUAUCGACCCCUUCUGUGCCGCAGUUAACACAAUAAGUACUCCGCCU